ACGAUCCCUAGCUGGUCUGAGAGGAUGACCAGCCACACUGGAACUGAGACACGGUCCAGACUCCUACGGGAGGCAGCAGUGGGGAAUAUUGCACAAUGGGCGCAAGCCUGAUGCAGCCAUGCCGCGUGUAUGAAGAAGGCCUUCGGGUUGUAAAGUACUUUCAGCGGGGAGGAAGGGGUUGUGGUUAAUAACCGCAGCAAUUGACGUUACCCGCAGAAGAAGCACCGGCUAACUCCGUGCCAGCAGCCGCGGUAAUACGGAGGGUGCAAGCGUUAAUCGGAAUUACUGGGCGUAAAGCGCACGCAGGCGGUCUGUCAAGUCGGAUGUGAAAUCCCCGGGCUCAACCUGGGAAC
rnacentral:rRNA from 1 species